rnacentral:lncRNA from 1 species
AACUUAUGAAAUCACAACUAAAGGUAAUCAAUUCAUAUUACAAGUAUGUUCAUGGCUUUGAAUUCCCCCCUAGCUAAGGGGGGUUUAGUUCCUCAUACUCACAAAGCAAAGAUAAACAAAUUUAGACAUUGAAAACAAAAGAAUGAAAACACCUAAAAACGCUCGAACAAUCCAACUUGAAUGGCAAGCACGUCCAAGGGUCCUCAUUCUUCUCUUUGUUGCGGCAUAAGGUGUGGUUUGAUGGAUGCGUAUAGAUAUAUGGAAGGGAAUGGCUGAAUGUGUUUAGGUUGGAUGGAGGUCAUGGCAAGGAAAGGGAAAUGAAGAUGCAUGGAAUUGUGUUUUUGUUGUGGGAAUGUGUAGAAUGGUUAAGAAGAAAAGACUCUGCCUUGCGGCAGAAUGUGUCUUCCUCCCUUCUCCCUAAACUGU